rnacentral:rRNA from 1 species
UACGUAGGGUGCGAGCGUUGUCCGGAAUUAUUGGGCGUAAAGAGCUCGUAAGCGGUUCGAUAAGUCGGAUGUGAAAUCUCCACGCUCAACGUGGAGGGGCCAUUCGAUACUGUCGUGACUCGAGUCCGGUAGGGGAGUGUGGAAUUCCACGUGUAGCAGUGAAAUGCGUAGAGAUGUGGAGGAAUACCGAUGGCGAAGGCAGCCUCCUGGGCCAACACUGACGCUCAUGCACGAAAGCGUGGGGAGCAAACAGG